rnacentral:rRNA from 1 species
GGCCAGACUCCUACGGGAGGCAGCAGUGGGGGAUAUUGCACAAUGGGGGGAACCCUGAUGCAGCGACGCCGCGUGGGUGAAGAAGCGCCUCGGCGCGUAAAGCCCUGUCAGCAGGGAAGAAAAUGACGGUACCUGAAGAAGAAGCCCCGGCUAACUACGUGCCAGCAGCCGCGGUAAUACGUAGGGGGCAAGCGUUAUCCGGAUUUACUGGGUGUAAAGGGGGCGCAGACGGCGAUGCAAGCCAGGAGUGAAAGCCCGGGGCCCAACCCCGGGACUGCUCUUGGAACUGCGGCGCUGGAGUACGGGAGGGGCAGGCGGAAUUCCUGGUGUAGCGGUGAAAUGCGUAGAUAUCAGGAGGAACACCGGCGGCGAAGGCGGCCUGCUGGACCGUGACUGACGUUGAGGCUCGAGAGCGUGGGGAGCAAACGGGAUUAGAUACCCCCGUAGC